AUUGAACGCUGGCGGCAGGCUUAACACAUGCAAGUCGAACGAGUGGCGGACGGGUGAGUAAUGGUUGGGAAUCUGGCUUAUGGAGGGGGAUAACUACGGGAAACUGUGGCUAAUACCGCUUAACAUAGGAUGAGCCCAAGUGGGAUUAGGUAGUUGGUGAGGUAAAGGCUCACCAAGCCGACGAUCUCUAGCUGGUCUGAGAGGAUGACCAGCCACACUGGGACUGAGACACGGCCCAGACUCCUACGGGAGGCAGCAGUGGGGAAUAUUGGGCAAUGGAGGCAACCUGACGCAGCAAUGCCGCGUGAAUGAAGAAGGUCUUCGGAUUGUAAAGUUCUUUCGGUAGCGAGGCGUUAACUACAGAAGAAGCACCGGCUAACUCCGUGCCAGCAGCCGCGGUAAUUC
rnacentral:rRNA from 1 species